rnacentral:rRNA from 1 species
UACGAGGGGGGCAAGCGUUGUUCGGAUUUAUUGGGCGUAAAGGGUGCGUAGGCGGUUUGGUAAGUCUUAUGUGAAAUCUACAGGCUCAACUUGUAGUCUGCAUGAGAAACUGCCGGGCUUGAGUAUGGGAGAGGUGAGUGGAAUUCCUGGUGUAGCGGUGAAAUGCGUAGAUAUCAGGAGGAACACCUGUGGCGAAAGCGGCUCACUGGACCAUAACUGACGCUGAUGCACGAAAGCUAGGGGAGCAAACAGG